rnacentral:rRNA from 1 species
AGUGAACGCUGGCGGUAGGCCUAACACAUGCAAGUCGAACGGCAGCACAGUAAGAGCUUGCUCUUACGGGUGGCGAGUGGCGGACGGGUGGGGAAUACAUCGGAAUCUACUUUUUCGGGGGGGAUAACGUAGGGAAACUUACGCUAAUACCGCAUACGACCUACGGGUGAAAGCAGGGGAUCUUCGGACCUUGCGCGAUUGAAUGAGCCGAUGUCGGAUUAGCUAGUUGGCGGGGUAAAGGCCCACCAAGGCGACGAUCCGUAGCUGGUCUGAGAGGAUGAUCAGCCACACUGGAACUGAGACACGGUCCAGACUCCUACGGGAGGCAGCAGUGGGGAAUAUUGGACAAUGGGCGCAAGCCUGAUCCAGCCAUACCGCGUGGGUGAAGAAGGCCUUCGGGUUGUAAAGCCCUUUUGUUGGGAAAGAAAAGCAGCAGGUUAAUACCCCGCUGUUCUGACGGUACCCAAAGAAUAAGCACCGGCUAACUUCGUG